UACGUAGGCAGCAAGCGUUGUUCGGAAUUACUGGGCGUAAAGAGUGUGUAGGCGGUGUUCUAAGUCUGUUGUGAAAUCUCCCGGCUUAACUGGGAGGGUGCGGCGGAAACUGGAAUGCUAGAGGAUGGGAGAGGUAAGCGGAAUUCCUGGUGUAGCGGUGAAAUGCGUAGAGAUCGGGAGGAACAUCCGUGGCGAAGGCGGCCAUCUGGACCAACACUGACGUUGAGGCACGAAAGCGUGGGGAGCAAACAGG
rnacentral:rRNA from 1 species